CCGCUCAGGAGAUCGGGCGCCUCGAAGAUGUCGAGGGCUUCCUCGGCGUCCCGGUGUUGCCUGGACUGUCGGCGUUAAACUUUGCGCUUCCUCAUCCGUCGAUAGUUCCCAAGCUCCAGGCUGCCUGCUCAACAGAUGGAGGCAAAGCGGCCUCUAGCUACAGCACCUGCCAAACCCAUGACCUCUACCACCAACAGGAUAAGGACAACAGGGAGCAUUACACCUGGAUGUUUGAAGUAUAUUAUCG